CAGCAGCCGCGGUAAAACGGAGGAUCCAAGCGUUAUCCGGAAUCAUUGGGUUUAAAGGGUCCGUAGGCGGUCUUGUAAGUCAGUGGUGAAAGCCCAUCGCUCAACGGUGGAACGGCCAUUGAUACUGCAGGACUUGAAUUAUUGGGAAGUAACUAGAAUAUGUAGUGUAGCGGUGAAAUGCUUAGAGAUUACAUGGAAUACCAAUUGCGAAGGCAGGUUACUACCAAUUGAUUGACGCUGAUGGACGAAAGCGUGGGUAGCGAACAGGAUUAGAUACCCGUGUAGUCCCUGUCUCUUAUAC
rnacentral:rRNA from 1 species